rnacentral:rRNA from 1 species
UACGUAGGGUGCAAGCGUUAUUCGGAAUUACUGGGCGUAAAGCGUGCGCAGGCGGCUUUGCAAGUCAGAUGUGAAAUCCCCGGGCUUAACCUGGGAACUGCAUUUGUGACUGCAUGGCUGGAGUGCGGCAGAGGGGGGUGGAAUUCCGCGUGUAGCAGUGAAAUGCGUAGAUAUGCGGAGGAACACCGAUGGCGAAGGCAAUCCCCUGGGCCUGCACUGACGCUCAUGCACGAAAACGUGGGGAGCAAACAGG